rnacentral:rRNA from 1 species
AGCAGCCGCGGUAAUUCCAGCUCCAAUAGCGUAUAUUAAAGUUGUUGCAGUUAAAAAGCUCGUAGUUGAAUUUCGGGAUCAAAUUGUCGGUCGUGCCUCGGUACGUACUGGCGUUAUUGGUUCCUCCCUUCUGAAGAACCGCGAUGUCAUUAAUUUGGUGUCGCGGGGAAUCAGGACUGUUACUUUGAAAAAAUUAGAGUGUUUAAAGCAGGCUCGCGCUUGAAUACAUUAGCAUGGAAUAAUGAAAUAGGACGUUUGAUUCUAUUUUGUUGGUUUCUAGGAUCGACGUAAUGAUUAAUAGGGAUAGUUGGGGGGCAUUAGUAUUCAAUUGUCAGAGGUGAAAUUCUUGGAUUUAUUGAAGACUAACUACUGCGAAAGCAUUUGCCAAGGAUGUUUUCAUUAAUCAAGAACGAAAGUUAGGGGAUCGAAGACGAUCAGAUACCGUCGUAGUCUUAACCAUAAACUAUGCCGACUAGGGAUCGGAUGAUGUUAAUUUUUUAAUGACUCAUUCGGCGCCUUA